UCCCGUUUAGCUCAGUUGGUAGAGCGCGUCACUAGUAACGUGAUCUUGAAGGUCACAAAGCGAAAUGACGAGGUCAGUCGUUCGAGUCGGCUAAUGGGAA